AAAAGCUCGUAGUUGGAUUUCGGACUGGUGCAGUUUGGUCUGCCGCAAGGUGUGUUGCUGAACUGUGCUGUCUUCUUCUCAGAGUCCUGCUGUGCACUUGAUUGUGUGCAGUAUUUUGGAAUUUGAGACGUUUACUUUGAAAAAAUUAGAGUGUUCAGAGCAGGCCUUGUUAUGCCCGAAUACAUGAGCAUGGGAUAAUGGAAUAGGACUACGGUCUUAUUUUGUUGGUUUCUGAGACCGAAGUAAUGAUUAAGAGGGACAAUUGGGGGCAUCCGUAUUUCGUUGUCAGAGGUGAAAUUCUUGGAUUUACGAAAGACGAACAA
rnacentral:rRNA from 1 species